rnacentral:rRNA from 1 species
AGAGUUUGAUCAUGGCUCAGGACGAACGCUGGCGGCGUGCCUAAUACAUGCAAGUCGAGCGGACGAAUCGAAAGCUUGCUUUUGAUUCGUUAGCGGCGGACGGGUGAGUAACACGUGGGCAACCUGCCCUGUAGACGGGGAUAACACCGAGAAAUCGGUGCUAAUACCGGAUAACACGAAAUGUCGCAUGACGUUUCGUUGAAAGACGGCGCAAGCUGUCGCUACAGGAUGGGCCCGCGGCGCAUUAGCUAGUUGGUGAGGUAACGGCUCACCAAGGCGACGAUGCGUAGCCGACCUGAGAGGGUGAUCGGCCACACUGGGACUGAGACACGGCCCAGACUCCUACGGGAGGCAGCAGUAGGGAAUCUUCCGCAAUGGACGAAAGUCUGACGGAGCAACGCCGCGUGAGCGAAGAAGGCCUUCGGGUCGUGAAGCUCUGUUGUUAGGGAAGAACAAGUAACGCAGUAACUGGCGUUAUCGUGACGGUACCUAACGAGAAAGCCACGGCUAACUACGUGCCAGCAGCCGCGGUAAUACGUAGGUGGCAAGCGUUGUCCGGAAUUAUUGGGCGUAAAGCGCGCGCAGGCGGUUCCUUAAGUCUGAUGUGAAAGCCCACGGCUCAACCGUGGAGGGUCAUUGGAAACUGGGGGACUUGAGUGCAGAAGAGGAGAGCGGAAUUCCACGUGUAGCGGUGAAAUGCGUAGAGAUGUGGAGGAACACCAGUGGCGAAGGCGGCUCUCUGGUCUGUAACUGACGCUGAGGCGCGAAAGCGUGGGGAGCAAACAGGAUUAGAUACCCUG